rnacentral:rRNA from 1 species
AUUGAACGCUGGCGGCAGGCCUAACACAUGCAAGUCGAGCGGAUGAAGGGAGCUUGCUCCUGGAUUCAGCGGCGGACGGAUGAGUAAUGCCUAGGAAUCUGCCUGGUAGUGGGGGAUAACGUCCGGAAACGGGCGCUAAUACCGCAUACGUCCUGAGGGAGAAAGUGGGGGAUCUUCGGACCUCACGCUAUCAGAUGAGCCUAGGUCGGAUUAGCUAGUUGGUGGGGUAAAGGCCUACCAGGGCGACGAUCCGUAACUGGUCUGAGAGGAUGAUCAGUCACACUGGAACUGAGACACGGUCCAGACUCCUACGGGAGGCAGCAGUGGGGAAUAUUGGACAAUGGGCGAAAGCCUGAUCCAGCCAUGCCGCGUGUGUGAAGAAGGUCUUCGGAUUGUAAAGCACUUUAAGUUGGGAGGAAGGGCAGUAAGUUAAUACCUUGCUGUUUUGACGUUACCAACAGAAUAAGCACCGGCUAACUUCGUG